rnacentral:rRNA from 1 species
CCUUGCCAGCCCGCUCAGAAACUCAAGGAAUUGACGGGGCCCGCACAAGCGGUGGAGUAUGUGGUUUAAUUCGAUGCAACGCGAAGAACCUUACCUGGUCUUGACAUCCCGGAGACCCUUAGGAAACUAGGGGGUGCUUCCAUCUGGAAGAAUCUGGAGACAGGUGCUGCAUGGCUGUCGUCAGCUCGUGUCGUGAGAUGUUGGGUUAAGUCCCGCAACGAGCGCAACCCUCGCCUUUAGUUGCCAGCAGUUCGGCUGGGCACUCUAAAGGGACUGCCGGUGUUAAACCGGAGGAAGGUGGGGAUGACGUCAAGUCCUCAUGGCCUUUAUGACCAGGGCUACACACGUACUACAAUGGCCGAUACAAAGGGCAGCGACACUGCGAGGUGAAGCCAAUCCCGUAAAAUCGGUCUCAGUCCGGAUUGGAGUCUGCAACUCGACUCCAUGAAGUUGGAAUCGCUAGUAAUCGUGGAUCAGCAUGCCACGGUGAAUACGUUCCCGGGCCUU